rnacentral:lncRNA from 1 species
GAAAAAUAGAGCAAUAGGAAAAACAUCUUUUCAAUUGAGACGAAAGAUAUUGAUAACUCAAGCGCAAUGCAGGCAAAAUAUUAUCAUUCUGUAAGUUCCAUAUGUCGUUGUUCAGAACUUCAAUCCACUCUUCAGUAUCUACUUUCGAACGCAAUAGUCCUCCAAGUGAUUUUGCAGCGAUUGGCAAUCCACCACACUUUCUGGCAAUCUUCCUGCCAAUUGGUUCUAGGUUUCGGCGUUGAGUUUCAGAAAAGUCUCCACUUCCAAAUGCAUGUUUGGAGAGUAAAAACCAACUGUCUUCAUGGGAUAGAGGAUCUAAUGAAAAAAUAGGAAAUGUGCGUGCAACAUCUGCCACUUUUUUGUGGCGUGUUGUGAUGAUCAUUCUGCUUCCAUUUUUUCCAUAUAUCAACGGAGAUGCAAGUUCAUCCCAAUCAGAAUAACUGUCAUUCCAUAAGUCAUCCAACACAAUGAAAAAUCUUUUGUCCCUCAAAUUUUUCUUUAACUCAACUCGAAGAAUAUCAAGAUUACUGUCAUUCCAUGUUUUUGAAGUGACAGAUUCAAGGAGAGCUUUGGUUACUCUAAAAACAUCAAAAUCCUCCGAUACACAAGCCCAUGCUUUGAGAUCAAAGUGAUGUUCAACUUUUUCAUCAUUGUAAGCAAGUUGUGCAAGUGUUGUUUUUCCGACACCUCCCAUGCCUACAAUUGCAACUACGCCCAUAUUGUUCUGGCUAGUAUUGCUUUGUGAUAGCAACAUGUUCAUUACUUUGUCUUUGUCAUCUUUCCUACCAACCAUGACAGAUUCAUUGAACAUAGGAGUUGAAGGUGUUCUACGAGAAACUCCGACACUUUUAGUUUGCAAACUAAUGAUAUCUUUAUUUUCAGCAAAAUGUUUGAGGUUUAAGCACAUUUUUUUCAUUUGGGAAUUGAUCUCUUCAUAGUUAUUUGUAGAAGGAGAAAAAAAGAAGUUCCAGACCUGUUUAGUUUUGCUUGCAGCUUGCGUGUUCUCCAUCUGGCAUUGAAGGGAAUCAUAGCUAAUUUGGUUGAGCAGAUCUUCAGCAUCGUAGAGAGCAUCUUUCAAGCCAUCAAGCCAUUGUUUGACAGAAGGAGUGUUGAUCUGCUUCUCCUCUGCAGCAUCUAGCACAGGUUGAAUAGUGAGUAGUGUUUGUCCUAACUGUUCCAAGAGUGAGUCAUCGAACUUGGUUUUUUUGAAGUAAUCAAGAAACUCUUUGGAAGCAAGUUUCUGAACUAAGGUUUGAACAGUUGCAGAGAGGAAAGCACUUCCAAUCAUAGUUGCAGCCAUUUUGUAUUAGCAAAAGAUUGAAGGAAAUCAAGAUCUGUGUGAAUCGAUAGCAAAGAGUGGUAUGUCAAUGGUUUUCUUGAAUGGUUGGCUGUGGUAAUAGUAAAGCAAGAGAUACAUGUGAUGUGAAUACGGACUGAUUCAAUCAUUGAUGCAAAGGAAUGGUUAUUGAUAUAAGUUAUAUAUGGUUCAUGUGGGUCCAUGUAAUAAUGCGGUGACCUAGCUGUAUUGAAAUCAAUACACCCUCCGAUCACUAUUAUAAGUAAUUUUUUUUUUGUAUAUUUGACCGUCAAUGUAUCUAGUACAUCAAACGUACCAAAAAAGUCAAAUUUAUUUAUAAUAGUAACUGGAGGGUGGAUGUUGUUAUUUUGACCAAUUUGAUACACUUUGUAUAGACAAUGCUUUUGAAACUUGUUUGCUUUAAAACUGAUGGGAGUACUCAUUCACAAAUCAACCACCACGACAGAUAAUACAGAAUCUGAAUUUUCAAAGCUGUAAUUAGUUACAGCUUUUAUGUAACUGGUUACAGGCUGCUGCAAUUGCUUUAUCUUGUUGAAAACGAUGUCUCGGCUGAUCAUAACUCUCUUAUUUGUUGCAUCAAACAACUUAUAAGCCCCAAUGAAGUAAUACUCUACAAGUAUCAUAAUUUCUCCCUUAUCAUCCAGCUUCUUUCUAAGCUCACCCAGAACAUGCUGAUAUGCUAUAGAACCAAAAUAUCAAAUGGUUCAAAUUCGGUUUGAAUCGCGACCAUGCUUCCUCCGGUGUUAUCUUCUCAAGCUUCUUUGUUGGAUACUUAUCCAACAAAUAGAUAGUUGUGGAUAUCGCUUCUCCCCAUAACUCCUUCAACAAAUUCUUCCCCUUUAUCUCAAGCUUCUUUGUUGGAUACUUAUCCAACAAAUAGAUAGUUGUGGAUAUCGCUUCUCCCCAUAACUCCUUCAACAAAUUCUUCCCCUUUUACAUGUUUCUUACCAUAUUCGUAAUCGAUCAAUUCUUUCUUUUGACAACACUAUUGUGUUGCGGUGUAUAAGAUGGUACAACCUCAUGUACCAUCCCUUCUUGAUCACAAAACCUCUCAAAGUAUUUUGAGACAUAUUUGCCUCUACCAUGUAUUUUGAGCACUUUGAGCUUAUGAUCGCUUUGUCUCUCAACCAUGGACUUGAACUUCUUAAACACUUUGAAUACAUCAUCUUUUAUGUUGAUUAAGUAUGUCCAUAGUGUUAAACUGAUAUAAAACUUUCAUAUUAUUUCAAUCGUAUAUUACAAGGAGGGAAUAGGUUAUAUUUAUAUACACAGAAAACCUAUUUCUAAUUAUAACUAAAUCAGAAUAAUUAUAGUCAAAUCAUGGUAAUUAACAAUUAAUAACUAUAUUCCUAUUAUAGUUCCUAAAAUCUUGUUGACAGCUAACGCCAACACUCCCCCUCAAGUUGGUGCAUAGAGAUCUCGAAUGGCCAACUUGUCAAGUGCGUUGUAGAAGUCUCUGCUACAUACAGCUUUUGUGAGUAUAUCUACUAAUUGAUUUUCAGAUUUAACAAACGGGAAUUGAAUUAUCUUGGUCUCCAAAUUAUGCUUAAUGAAGUGUCGAUCUAUUUCCACGUGUUUUGUCCGAUCAUGUUGAACCAGAUUAUGAGCAGUUUCAAUUGCAGACUUGUUGUCACAAAAAAGGUUCAUCGCAUUAUUCGGAGCAAAGCCAAUUUCAAUUAACAAUCUUCGAAGCUAAAGAAGCUCACAAAGACCUUUAGCCAUCCCUCAAAACUCUGCUUCACCACUUGAUAAUGCUACAACCUUUUGUUUCUUACUUUUCCAUGUAACCAAAUUUCCUCCAACAAAGGUAAAAUAGCCUGAGGUGGAUUUUCUGUUGGUGAUAUCUCCUUCCCAGUCAGCGUCUGUAUAACCUUAAACUUGUACAUGAUUAUUCUUUGUGAACAUCAAGCCUUUUCCAGGCGAGGACUUCAAGUACCGCAUGAUUCGAAUUACCGCGUCCAUGUGAUCUUUACUCGGGUUGUGCAUAAAUUGACUUACUACACUUACCGCAUACGCUAUAUCAGAUCGUGUAUGAUAUAAGUAAAUAAUUUUGCCAACCAAUCUCUAGUACAUUCCUUUGUUUGUUGGCACUUGAUCUAGAUAUUCUCCAAGUUGGUGGUUCUGGACAAUUGGAGUAUCUACAGGUUUACAGUCUAGUAGCCCAACUUCUGAUAAAAGAUCUAGGAUAUAUUUUCGUUGAGAUAAAAAGAUGCCUUUCUUCGACCUAGCAACUUCAAUACCUAGAAAAUAUUUGAGCCCACCUAGAUUUUUCAUCUCAAAUUCGGUUGCAAGUUGUUUUUGAAGGUUUGCUAUUUCCUCAGAGUCAUCUCCUGUAAUAAUCAUAUCAUCUACAUACACAAUCAAAGUUGUGACCUUACCUUGACGAUGUUUCAGAAACAACGUAUGAUCUGCGUUGCUUUGUUGGAAGCCAUAAUUUUUCAUUGCCAGGUUCAAUCUCCCAAACCACGCUCUAGGAGAUUGCUUCAAGCCGUACAAAUUGCGUUGCAAUUUACACACCACCUUAGUCUCAUAAUUUGUCAUGUAUCCCGGAGGGAUAUCCAUAUAUAUUUCUUCUUUCAAGUGCCCAUGGAGAAAUGCAUUUUUCACGUCUAACUGAUGCAAUGGCCAAUCCAGAUUUACUGCAAGAGAUAAAAGAACUCUGACAGUGCUCAACUUGGCAACAGGUGAAAAAGUUUCUUGAUAGUCUACGCCAUAUGUUUGUGUAAAGCCUUUAGCCACUAAUCUUGCUUUGUACCUUUCAAUAGACCCAUCAACUUUGUACUUGAUAGAGAAAACCCACUUACACCCUACUGGUUUCUUUCCUUUUGGUAAAGGGACAAGAGUCCAUGUCGCAUUCUUGUUUAAUGCCUCCAUUUCUUCAUUCAUAGCUUGAACCCAUCUAGGGUCUUCAAUGGCCUCUUCAACGUUGCUAGGUACACUGUAUGAAGACAGCUCAUUUGCAAAUUUCUUAAGGGGUUCAGACAAGUCCUUCAUAGAGACAUAAUUAGCAAUUGGAUACCUUGAUCUAUGAUCCUCUUCUUCAGGAGAGUAACGCUUCGGUGGUUUUCCCCGAUUAUGCCUGUGAGGUAAUUCAUAGCUAACAGAGAUAUCACCAUUAUUAUUAUUAUUAUUAUUAUUAUGAGAUAUAGGAGAGUUUACCUCAAUGAUAUUCUCAGGAGAUGGAUCGUUGAGUACUGGAGAGGGGGGGAAUUCCGAUACUUCAACUUCAGGACUCAUAUGGUCUGUUUGAGUUUGACAAGAAUCACCAAAAACUUCAGUUGAAGGUAUAUCAAUAUCUUUGAACCAGUCAAAUGUCGACCAAUUCGACUCUUCUUCUGGUGUCUCCCCCUGAAGAGAAGAAUUGGGUGAUACAGAUGAGUAGAAAUGGUCAAAUUCCAAGAAUGUAACAUCCAUAGUUACAUAAAUGCGUCGAGUAAUAGGGUCAUAGCAACGAUACCCUUUCUGGUGUACACCAUAUCCCAAAAACAGGCAGCGAAUGGCACACGAAUUAAGCUUUGUACGCUGGUUUUUAUGUAGGUGAACAAACGCAACACACCCAAAGACUCGAGGUGGCAGCAUUUGUAUUAUAGGCAGCGGUACAAAUGUGGACAAGGUCUGCAGCGGAGUUUUAAAUUCAAGGACCUUUGAUGGCAUCCGAUUGAUGAGAUAUACUGCUAUAGUAACAACGUCAGUCCAAUGGCGGUGAGGCACAUGUGCUCCAUGUAAAAGAGCACGGGCAGUUUCAAGGAUAUGGCGAUUUUUUUGUUCCGCAACACCAUUUUGUUGUGGGGUUUGUGGACACGUGGUUUCGUGAAUAAGUCCGUGUUUUUUGAAAUACUCAUGGAAUUGAUGAUUUACAAACUCCCCACCAUUAUCAGAGCGAAGGAUCUUAAUUUUCUUUGAAUAUUGAGUUUGANCACAAUGAGAGCACUUAGUGCCAUUAGAUGGUUCUUUAUGUUUGGAUUGAGAAAGUAUCUUACUGCUAUGUAAUUUGAGACCCUUAGAUGCAAGAACUGCUCCAGAUAAUUCAUUGGAGUUGUCUGUCAUUACUGCCUGACGAAGAGCUUCCCUCCUAACAUGUGCAUAUGCUUGCUCCACUGUUGGAAACGAUUUCAUUUGUAAAACAUCGCUUCUGAUAUUAUCUAAGCGGUCAUCAAGUCCAUCCAAAAACACAUACACUCGUUCUUCUUGGAUAAGUGUAUUGUAAUGUUGGAUAUCAACUUGACAUGUCAUCGGAUUUGGACGAAGAAAAUCUAUCUCACGCCAAAGUCCUUGGAGAUCGUUAUAAUAUUUUUCAAGAGAACCACCGGCUUGUUUAAGACGUGUCACCCGUCGCCGAAGGUCAUACACCUAGGAGGUGUCACUGCCAUCAAAGUACGUGGUCGCAAUUGCAUCCCACACCAGCUUGGCAGUGGAGAAGCGAAUAAAGUUGUAGAUUAGAGAAGAGUCCAUUAAGUUGAUUAUCCAUCCCUUAACAAUCGCGUUGUCAGUCCGCCAACGUCGAAAUGUAGGAUCUGUUUGAGGGGGUUGCGGGAGAUCUCCAUUGAUAUAUCCUAGUUUGUCUUUGCCCGAGAUAUACAUCUCGACCACCUGGGACCAAAGGGGAUAGUUGUUGCCAUCUAACUUGAUUCCAAUCGGUGCCACCGUAUGGUCAAAGCCAAUUUGUGACGGGGCUGACGCACGGUACAGAACUUCCGUCAUUUUCGUCGUCAAUUCAAUAAGAAUGGAAGACGAAGUAACCUCAUCGGAGUUUGAAUCCGAGUCGGCCAUGGAAGAAGGAUGGAAAGUGUUACCGUAGGUCAGGAUUAAGACCUGGCGGCUGAUACCACGUUAAACUGAUAUAAAACUUUCAUAUUAUUUCAAUCGUAUAUUACAAGGAGAGAAUAUGUUAUAUUUAUAUACACAGAAAACCUAUUUCUAAUUAUAACUAAAUCAGAAUAAUUAUAGCCAAAUCAUGGUAAUUAACAAUUAAUAACUAUAUUCAUAUUAUAGUUCUUAAAAUCUUGUUAACAGCUAACGCCAACACAUAGCUUUCUACUAUGACCGUCGAUGAAUGUGACAAAAUAUUUAUUACCACCAAUUGAGUCAACUUGCAUCGGUCCACACACAUAUGAAUACACCAUCUCAAGGUGAUUCUUGGUUCUACAACCUGCAUCCUUGUUGAAUUUACCCUUAUGUUGCUUCACUCACACACAUUCUUCACAAAUUUCAGUUGGUAUGUUGAUCAACAUCGUUACCAUUCCGUUCUUUUGCAAAGUCUUUGAGAUCUUAGAAAUUUAGAUGCCCAAGACGAUAAUUCCAUAUCCACUAUUCUUGACUAGUCGCUGUAGCAAGACACCUAUGAUCCAUAACCUUCAUUUCAACCUUGAAAGUUCUAUUUGCAGCCAUAUAAGCUUUAUGGGCCAAAACCCAUUAUGCAUCCAUAAUGCGCAACCCCUUAUUUUUCAUGUGAAUCUUGUAACCCUUCUCAAGCAAUUGGCCAAUACUUAUAAGUUUAUAUUUGAUUCCUGAAAUUUAAAAUACAUCUUUGAUCAAGGAAUUUCCAUCAUCCUUUCUCAUGCAAAACAUCAUACGAUCCAUCGGGCCGUAGAGUGGUGUCAUCCGUGAACAUCAACUUUGUCGCUUCAUGGGCAGCGAUUGAUUUAACAAAACAAUCCUGUCCUCCCAAUCAUAUGAGUAGACACAACCGGAGUCCAAAUACGCAUUCCUCGUUGGCAAUGAGUUGAGUCUAUUCGUAGCUGCAUCAUGAAAUAUCUUCUACUUGUAACCGGUUAUAGUUUUACGUAACCGUUAAAUUUGAUACAACUUAAGAACAUCUUGGUAGCCAAACAAUACCUUCAUUUGUUUGCACCAAUUUUCAUAAUUCUUCACAUCAAGGAUGAGUAUGUUUGUAGGGAUUCUUUCAUUGAAGACAUAAUUCAUGUUGUACACUAGGUAUUUAUGGAUCAAAAUCAGACUCUUGAUGCCAAAUGUUAGAACUUGGAACCAUAAUAUUAGUGAGUAAUGGGGAAAUUGAGUGUAAAGAAGUGUCAUACCCUAAAUUUCCCCCCACCUAAUUCAUCAGCAAUCAUUCAUCUGCAUUCACUCAUUUGUGUCUAUUCGUUUGCAUUCAUUAUUAACUAGCAUUACAUUUUGCAUCAUGAUCAGUUCAUCUGGUCAUAUGAUCCCAUCUUCAUGCAUAGAUUAAAAUUCAAUAAUUAAGGAUUAAAUAUAUUUGUUUGUGUUUAGUUUGAUAAGCUCAGCUCAUUAUUUUUUAUCAUAAAUCAUUUAAGUCAUUAAGGUGAUUGAUUUAGAUGAUUCCUGACCUUUCUGGAUGCCACUUGUGGUUGACUAAAGUCUUGAUUUUCUAAUCACAAUUACUCGUAAAAUUUGUGAUAAUAACUCAUACAAACAUCUAUCAUUCUAUCAUAUACUAUGUCAUUCAGUNCAUACCCUAAAUUUCCCCCCACCUAAUUCAUCAGCAAUCAUUCAUCUGCAUUCACUCAUUUGUGUCUAUUCGUUUGCAUUCAUUAUUAACUAGCAUUACAUUUUGCAUCAUGAUCAGUUCAUCUGGUCAUAUGAUCCCAUCUUCAUGCAUAGAUUAAAAUUCAAUAAUUAAGGAUUAAAUAUAUUUGUUUGUGUUUAGUUUGAUAAGCUCAGCUCAUUAUUUUUUAUCAUAAAUCAUUUAAGUCAUUAAGGUGAUUGAUUUAGAUGAUUCCUGACCUUUCUGGAUGCCACUUGUGGUUGACUAAAGUCUUGAUUUUCUAAUCACAAUUACUCGUAAAAUUGUGAUUAACUCAUACAAACAUCUAUCAUAUACUAUGUCAUUCAUGCAUUUUUUCUUCCAAGCAUUUCUUUUAUCAUACAUCCAUAAUUUACACUUGUUGCAUUAUAUUUAGUGUUUGAAUAUGUGGAAGGUUUUAUUUGGAUUGUAUUAAGGUUUGGCUUUACUAUUUAAAGUUAUAUCUUGGCAUUCCUAAAAUUAGGUUCUAAUGGUCUUAUCAUGGUAUUGUUCUUAGGUUAUAGCAAGAGGUUUCUUAUGUUAAGUAGAAGUAAUAAUAAUAAUUAAAAUUUGUUUUAAAAAGGGGUACUCAUGGGCAUGAUAAUUUAUUUUGAUUAUGUUAAUUGGAUUUGAGUAAAGUAUUUGGUCACAUUUUAUAAAUAAAUAUCACUCCUCUAUCUUAAAAUUAAAAAAAUAUUUAUAUUUAAUUUCACUUUGUCUUCUACAUCACAAAUAUAGAAAAAAACUCAAAAAAUAUAAAAAUAAGUUUUCACAUUAUAAUAAGGUCCAGGUAUUUUUUAUAGUAACAAAUUACAUUAAAAAAGAGAAAAUAUGUCCAAGUGAGGGACCCCUUAAAACUUGAUUUGGUUGGAGCAUCAUCUGAUUUCUAAGUCGGACCUAUACAAACAGGUACCACAGUUAGCAUAAUUUCAGAAACAAGUCCAAAAUAAUUUUAAAAAAAAAUAGAAAGGGUAAUGUGCAGGUUCUCAAUAAUAAAACAUAGUUUCACCAAAAUGAGAGUUAAUUUCUGACUUCAAAAAAGGUGUUAGCCAGUUGUUCUUAUUUAUCUUUUGAAUCAAACAAACAAGCAGAAGUGGAGGGGGAUUCUAUUCUUUCGAAAGAUAAAUAGCUACCAUAUUUCUCUAACACAUCAGUACCAAGAAGUUCCAAGGAGGAUCCGAGAAAAAAAAACAUAAAAAAACAGCAGUAAGGAAAAUAAAAAAAUCAAAGAUAGAUCAAUAGCCAAUAGCCAACAUCUUCAAAAUAUUCCUCAGAAAAAAAUCACAUACCACAAAACCUAACAGAAAAUUUCUUAUUAUCGAAAGAGCAAAAGUCAGAGACAUGUACCUGAGAUCGGUACCCCUUCCUGACCAUUCUUAUUUCUCAUCAUGUUUUUUCUUUUUGAACCUUUCAUAUUCGUUAUACUCAAUAUACACAUGCUCUGGUUGAUGUAUAAUUUUGUUUCGUCUCCCAUUUUCUUAUUGAUGGCCUGACCGUCGAUUCUUCAUAGCCCAAUGUGAAACUGUGAGAGUUUGGUUCUCGUUGAUUCAGGGUCAGCCACCGUGGAGGUUUUGGUUGGCCGAUUCGCAACCGUGAGAGCGGCCAUUUUUGAGUUAGGGUCGAUCGAUUCGCCAUUGUGUGAGUUUGGUACGUAUGGUGAGGCCGUGUUGAAUCAUAAGUUUGGUUCGUGAAGAAGAAAAAAAUUGAAGCUAGGUGAAGGUCUUGAGCGGACGUUUUUAGUUUUAGGUUAGGGUUUUGUCUUCACUGGUUUGUUUUAUGUUGUUUUGGGGCGGGUCGAUUGAGAUCCAAUUGGAUCUCCUGAACCGCCUUCCCCCUUUAAAAUUGUUCCACCCAUUUUUAGGCCCAAUGUUGUUUUUUUAUUAAAAAAAAUGACUUGGUUUUGAUGUUUGUAUUAAUGGUUGAACGUGUUUCCCAACUGGUUGCUCAUGUCCUAGUGGUUGAGACAUAUUCUGUUUCCCAUUAAGCUCUUAAUUCGAUCCUUGGCCUUGGCAUUGUUUUGGUUUCAUUAAUUUAUUUUCUUAGAAUCGCCAUUCUUUAUUCUAUUUUCCUUUCAUAACUAUUCGAUUUAGAUUAAUCUUUUUUUUCUUCCGUAUCCCCUAUUUAAUUUAAAAAAAACAUUAUUGUUUUAUUCUAUUUUCGUUUAUUUUUAUUUUUAUUUUUAUUUUUAAAUGCGUCAAAAAAAAGAGGAAACUUACUUAUUUGUUCAUAUAUUUAUUUAUUUAUUUAUAAUCGAUUUAUUUUGGGUCCUUUUAUGUCAAGUCUGUGUGAAGGUAUCCAUUCAGCUUCCUUUGAUUUCAAACAUCCAUACUUCGAUCAUUUUAAUCUCAAACCUUCACAUUAACCUUUUCAUUCAAAUCUUUUCUAAGUAAAAUGUGAAGAAAAAGAUUACCCUGGAUGGAAUAUUAAGUCGUAAUCCCGAAUAUUAGACCUAAGUUGUAAGAGCUUGCAAGCCAUAAGUAUUCGUCUUCUCUUCAAAACACUCCAAUAUUCAAAUCAUGUUCAUAAGUGAAUUUGAAGAAAAAGAUUACCCGAAUGAAAUAUCCAGUCAUAAUCCCGAAUGCUAGGCCCAAGUUGUAAGAGCUUGCGAGCCAUAAGUAUUCGUCUUCUCUUCAAAAUACUUGUAAAUAUUCAAACUUCUUUUCUCAAUAAAAUUGGUGGAAAAAGAUUACCUGGGUGAAAGGUCCAGAUGUAGUCCCGAGGAUUAGACCCAAGUUGUAAGACAUAAAUACUCGUCUUCCAAGCCCGAAAAUACAUUCAACCAAUCAAACUCUUUUAUUCGCCGUCGUGCGAUUGAUCAGAAAAACCUUUUCAUAAACGAAAGACACCUUGUCUUAAGGUGAUGUAAAGAAAUGCUUCGGCCAUAAUUGUUGAGUUAAGAUAAGUGACGUUUUUCCGAAUGUUGAUUUGUAAAUUCAUUCGAUGUGUGGUAUACGUCUGCUCCUCAUUUGUUUUGGGUAAACCAAUGUUUUCAUCGAUUAAUACAAUAUAACUUUCGCUAAAAUCGACCAACAAACAAAUAUUUUUCUACCCAGAACUACAUAAGCCUUGGGUUCUCUAUUGCACCCGGAGAUACAUAAGAGCAGGAUUUGUAAAUCUUGUCAGGCCCAUUAAUGAAAAACUUAGGUUUAGUCUCCUUCGUUGCAAAAAAAAUCAAAAAACAUCUUCUCUUUUCUUUUGACCCUAUUAUCCUUUCCCUCAUAAUAACUUGAGAAGUCUAAUAUUUCAAGCUAACACUGACGCACACAAUUAACCUAAUGGUUCCCGUUGAGUGCAACGGACGUAAGAGGUGCUAAUACCUUCCCCUUGCGUAAUCGACUCCCGAACUCUGUUUUGGUUGCGACAACCGUAAUCAUUGUCGUUCUUUCUUGGGUUUUGUCAAUAUUUCCCCUUUCCUUUUUAGGAAUAAAUAAAGUUCGGCGACGACUCUGUUUAGUCCAUCAUGUGAGCGUGCGAUUGCGCUUCGCUAGGUCGUGUUCUCAUUUUUUCGAUGUGUGACAAUUGCCCCCAUUUAAAUAUCUUCAAUUGAUUUCAUGAGCAACGACAGUCCUCAUGAAGUCAAGCUGAAGGGUAUUUAAAUACAAAAGUAGCAUAUGAUGAAGUAGCAUGAGGGAUCUUAGGAUCAAAAUUCGGGUCUUACACAACUACCGUCGUCUUCUUUGCUCCAAUUUCCUCUUCUUCUUCGCAACAACUAGGGUUUCAGACCAUGAGAGUAUAACUAUGAACUAAUGCAACAACAAAUGUGAAAAUGCCAACAAUGUCCCUAUUAGGCAGAAACAAAAAAAAAUAUGAUAAAAAUAAAUUCAGAAAAAUACAAAAACACAAAAUUUUAUCUAAUUAGACGAAAUAAGAAUUUUGGAAAAUUUUUGGAAUUUUUUCGAGACUAUGAAAACAGUGAAAAAUUCAUAAAAAAAUAGAAAAAAGAUGAAUUUGGGAAUUUGAGUAAGGGACUAAUGAUCGCACGAUUUUUUUGCUCCUAGUAGACAAAACAAAAUUUGAAUCGGACACAAUUUUUCAGAAAUUCGGGUUUUCGGACCAGGAUAGAUCAGGUCGGACGAACGGACGCGAAUUGGCCAAAACAGCAAAUCGGAGGGCCAAAACACUACAAUCGACACCUAUGACUCAACUAACGAUUAAAAACAACAAGAAUCCCCGACAACGUCGCCAAUUUGAUCCGCUGUCGCGCACGAGUCAAAACGAGUAAUUAGAAAACUGUAGUUUAGCGGAAGCGACAACUCGAGUAUCGUAUCGCAAGGAUUCUUGUAUUAUUCUUAACCUAAUGAAAUCGAUUUAAAAGGGGUUUAUGUUUAUUAGUCGAUUUAGAAAACAAAGCAAAAAUAAGUGAUUAAAAUAAGUGAUUAAAAUAAGCGAUUAUAAAAUAAGUCAAUCUACUAUUUUUGGUUUCCGGUUAAUCAUUGGUUUUUACCUACCAAUUUCCUAAGCGACUUCGAUCUUUAUUGAGUUCAAUUUCGAUUGACAAGCGCAAUAGAUAUAUGACAGAUUUAUAUUCCUAUAUUCCGAAUUAAGCAAACGGAUAAAUAUAAUCGUGAGUUAAGCAAACACGAUUUGCAAACGCAAUUUAAUGACAAAGCGACGAAAACGGCGAUUAAUAGUUAGGAAUGAAAUCAUACGAAUUUAAUCAAAAUCAUUCCAUAAAAUAUAGAUUAAACAAAUGAAAUUUCAUAGAAUAGAAUUGAAAGAGAACGAAAUUAAAUUGAUAGAAUAAAAAUCUCAAAGCCUUGGAAAUUCGGUUACAGCAGAUUGACUCUAGGAGAUUAGUUCCUCUUCAUGAUCGCACGAAAGAAAAAAAGUUAUUAUGAAUAAUGUGUGUUUGCUACAGUACCACGGCUUCCCCUUUUAAACAGAAUAAGGGUUUCACUUAUAAUUCAAACUGGGCCGGAAAACCUAAAUUCGGCCCAACAAAUGGCCCAAAAGAAAAUAUUUCCCAAAAUACGAAACUUCAACGAAUUACUUGAGACGUAUGCACUCUGAAUCAGCUUUUGACUUCAACAUUAAAGUUGUAGAUCUUUCUCUUAGAUUUCCAACGCAUGUCAGAACUUGCAAAACGACAUCCCGUAACUCAAGUUAUGAUCCGAAUAAUGGACAUGUAUCAAAUAACCGUUAAAACUGAAAAUAGCAAACGAAAAUAGAUUAAAGGCAAACAUGAACUUAAAUCUAAAAACAUGAUAAAAUAGUACAAUAAGUAAAAUAAACUAGAUAAAUGGCUAAGUACAAUUAUAGAAGAAUGUGCAUCAAAAUACACUGAUCAGUACCUCUGUUGCAAUAUAUGAAAAAUUAAAUUUAUUUCAUAUUAUAAGUUUGUGAGGAUAUAUCAUUACAUAAACAACAACACAAACAAUUAAAACAACUACAAUACAAUAACUAAGCAAUUACGAUCAUCAAAACAAUUUUGAACAUGUAACGCAUCAUCCUAUGAACGUCUCGGUCAGUCUUAAUAUCCAUCCAUUCACGCACUUGUCCAUUUUGGUUAAGCGUGGACACAAGUAAUUGGAUUCUUCUAAUCCUUUCACCAUCCCCAAUUUCUCCAUCUAACUAACUGUUCAACGUUCGAUUAAGACGUUCAAACGAAUCUAUAUUCCAAAGUCGAAUCUUUAUCGGAGACGCAACGGCGGAAAAUAUUAAAUCGACAUUUCGCUUGUGAAUGUAUUCAGACAUGGUUAAAACUAAAAAACUUGAAGGAGAAUGAAGUUGAAUGAAAGAAAAUAUGGUUGUAGGGUAAGAUUUGUUGAAAAAUAUUGCAUACAGGGUGAGAUAUUUAUACAGAUGAGAUAGAAAAUGCAUGCGACAAGAGGCUAGGCGCCUGACAUGUCAGGACAUACAAGCGUCAGAGGCAUUGACGUCUCUUCAUAAGCCAAAAUACAUGCGCCAUAUGCAUUGACGCCUCUUUAUGAGGCUACCAAUGCAGGCGCCAUAAGCAUUGGUGUCUCUUCAUGAUGAAAAAUGGAUGUGCUAGUUCAUAUGGUGCAUCUAUUUUAAAAGGUGGUUAUUUUGGAUUUUUAAAAAAACAAAAAGGUUAUUUUGGAAUUCUUUUUAAAAAUUGUGAUCAUUUCAACAAAAAAAUCACAAUGUAGUAUAUAUAUAUAUAUAUAUAUAAUAUAAAAAAUGGAAAGACUAAUGUCUUAUAUUUAGUCAUAAAACAAUUCUAUACGUGAAAUAUAAAUAAUUGACAUUGAUAAAAGUCACAUAAAAAUGAGACUAACUUAGAGAGAUAGGCAAACAUAUAAUUUGGUGAAAAAUAUUAAGAGAUAUAAGUCCUAUAUAUAACAACAUUGCUGCUUCUAAUUAGUUAUUGAGUUUGAGAAAAAAAAAAGGAUUUGGGAGAGAAAAAAGAAAUUUGAAAUUUAAGGUUAGAGAUUCUCAUUUUUCUCUAAUCGAUUUUGGAAAAGUAGUAAUUAUGAAUUCGUUAACGGUUAGAAUGAGCUAAUGUUUGGACACAAGAUUCUUGAAACAUAUCAGAUACUCUUCGUGAUCGUAUUUUGGUUGAACGAGAGUGUUACGUGUUCUUUGUUGAAUUGGAAUACAAGAAUUUACCUCUUUAUAUUUAAUAAUGAAUGAUAUAAUGUGUUAAUGAUAUAAUGUGUUAUGUGUUCUUUGUUGAAUUAGAAUACAUGCGUUAAUAGUGAAUGACAUAAUAAAUUAUGACUAUGUAGAUUUAAUAAGUCAAACAACCAUACUUUUGAGAAUAACGCAGAGAAGGAUGAUUUUGUUGUGACCAUUUAGGGAGAGAUUGAAGUUAAUGCUAAUGAGGAGAAUUUAUCAUAAAUAAAACUCUAUAAAUGAAGAAUAAAUAACUUAAUCAAAACCGGACCGAACAUUAAACCGGAAUAGACAUGGAUUUAAGGUUUUAAGGUUUGAUCGGGAUUUAGGGUUUUAUUGUGCAAAUUUAUAAACCUCAUUAGCAUCACUAUCACAAACCAUUCUACUGUGCCUAUCUGAUUCAUUGUUAUACCAUCAUAACCAAUAUUUUGAAUGCUCAAGUUAACAAAGGUCUUUCACGAUGCCAAUAGCUUCAAAGAAGUUCCACUUAUCAUGAUCAAUGUCUAAUAUAUGUUAAUGCCCACCUAGGUAAUAUAUUACACUAUCCCUAACAAAUUUUCCCAUGUAAUGAAAUUUCAUAGUAAAACUCAUACCUUAUUGAAUCAAUCGCCUUGCUCAAAUGCGUAUUUGAUUCGUCUACCACAUUUGCCGCCAACAGACGUCGCCUUCCUCGCAAUCUCCUCCCACGAAGCUAACAAAUGUUUUCUCUUCUAAAACCCUAAUUGACAAGGACUAAUAUUAAAAUUGUAAAAUGAAUUUUAAGGAUUUUUUUUUUGGGAAAUAUUUUAACCACAUUUUAAAAAAGUGUCUGAAUAGAAAAUUAUAAAAUAAAAUCCAAGUCAGCAACGUUAGCCACAUAUGAUUUUUUAACAAAACUUUGACGUCUGUGACUAACACCAACAAUAAAGUAACAUACAAAGACUCCAUAAAAAAAUGUAGGGACGAAAAUAAAAAACUCGCAAACUUACCGGGACCAAAAGGCUAAUUAAAUACUAAGCUAAUUACUUUUUAAAAGGUUAUAACUUCUUUCCUAGUCUUCUCAGACACCUCUUUAUUCCACACUAUCUAUUACUAUUUUGGACCACCUUGGACCCCUUCUCUCGAGUGAUCUCCUCGGCCUCCAUGAGUUUUUCGAGCGUUAUCCUGAUCACGUUCAUAGAACUCUCCUUGCAUUAAGGCGUUACCCAUGUUUAAAACUUUUUAUAAAGACCAUGAUAUGUAUAUCUUAAUUAAGAGUGUACAUGAGUUAGGUCAACCUAUAAAACUCUAUCAAAUUCACCCAAUAAAAUCCAAAAAAAGUGGGUUGUGACGGAUAAUUAGAUGAAUAUAUGUUGAAAAACUAAAAAACCAAUGACCAAAAUCAAAUUUCGAGUAAAAUUAGACUAAAACCCAAAAAAUCAAUUGACCCGCUAAUCAAACAUUUAUUAUUAAAAUUUUAAUGAUUUUGAUGAAUAUUAACUUAUUUGAUGCAAUUUUAUUCUCUUAACAUUUACUAGUUAACCAUGACUUUAACUAAUUUUGAAUGUUUCACUCAUUGGUUAUUUUGAUGUUAAUAUAAUUUUAUGUCAUGCAACUUUAGUUUGUUGCUAGUAUUAGUUUCACUCAUUGGUUAUUUUGAUGUUAAUAUAAUUUUAUGUCAUGCAACUUUAGUUUGUUGCUAGUAUUUUAUGAUAAUUUUUAGGUAUAAUUAGUCACCAAGUCCUUUAAAUUAAUUUAAUAUUUUACUUUAGUCCCUUAACCAAAAAACAUUACACUCUAGUCCCUUAAAAUUAGUUCCAUUAGCAUUAUUUGUCCCUUCCGUUACUUUUUCUGAAAAAACGUUAAAUGUUGCCAACCUGGCAUGAGAACUCGGCAAAAUCAAGAAAUUUUUCAUUAUUUCUUUCUUAUGAUCAUCUUUAACAUAAAUGAUGAGGUUUUUCAUUAUUUCUCUAUCAAAAUAUCUUUCAUAAUUAAAUUUUACCAUUACUCAUCAAUUUAUUAUUAAUCUCAACCCAUAAUUAUUUUUUUAUGAAAUUUGAUUUGGUCACAUUAUCAGAUUUUCUUCAAUCCAUAAUAUUUCUUAACAAUUUUUUUCAUCCAUCAAAAUCAUCUAUUGUCUUCCAUCAAUCAAAAACCACAAUAAAUCUAUAAUAAAUAAAAAAUUUAUUAUUUUUCUUCAUAAACUCCUAGAAUAAAAAACUCAGAUACAUCUUUCUUUCACGCGUUUUAAAAGAAGGUAAAAAAUAGCAAAAUCUCUCUUCCACACUUAGACAACCACCACCCUCAAAUCCCUCCGGUCACUUUUACAGAAAUCAGUCCUUCCUUUUUCCUCAAUCCAAAAACUUUUCACCUCGAAAUCCAUACAUAACAACACCAAACACAACAAUAACUGAGCAACAGACAACAAAAAGCAACAUUAGAGAACAAAAAGCGGCACCAUUAUCAGACUAACAUCAUACAACCUCCAAGUUUCACUACCACCAUACCAAAUCACAACUCAAAAAAUGACAACAUCACAAAUCUGAAAAGAAACGAAGAAGAAAAAGAAGAGGAGAAGAAAUUUUUUUCCAGAUUCGGUAAUCACUUUCAACGCCUUCUCUGCCACGUGAAACCGUACCAACGUUGGAAAUAGAGAUUCACCCUUAUCGUGCGUUUUUUGGCCGCCCUCAACACCUCUCAGUCGUGUCUUAGUCUUCUUCGUCGCUCCACGUACAAUACUCACAUCAUUUCACAUUUCAACCGUUGUUUUGUUUUAGAAAAAAAAAUAACAUUAGGACUGUUGUACUAUGUUGGGGGAGAAAAGAAGAAAGAAGGAGAAAGAGAAAGAAAGUGACGGCUACAAGUUUCUUUAGAGGGUAAUUACGGUUUGUUUCAAAUAAUGAAUAGAAAUGAAAAUAAGUGCAGAAAAUAUGAAAUAUAUUAAGAAAAUGUGAAAUAUAUUAAAAAUGAAAAUAAGUGAAUUAAUAAAAUUAAAAAAUGGCAAACAAAAAAUCAUGUUAGAUUUUUAAAAAACAAUAGUAGUGUCACGCAAACAAGUUAAUGUUUUUUUUAAAAUAAAAAUAUUGAUUGAUAUUCAAUUAGUCAUAACUAUAAUUGAUAUUAUUUCCUAUUGUAUAUUCCCUAUUUGCAUAUAAAUAUACACCAUGUGUGAUCAUAUUAGACACACAGAGAUACAAUUACAAUAGGAAUGAAUGAGAAUGACAUAUUUGAUGCCUAUAAAACUUUCAUUCAGCGUUACCUUGUACUUGAAGCAAUGACUAAGUGGACCUAAUACCCCAAAAAAACAAAAUAAAUAACUAAAUUUGAAAAAAAAUGCAUAACCUACCACAGUGAAUAUCCAGCUAUCAUCCCGCCAACAGAAUCAAGCAAACCGAUAUUGAGGCAAAUCCAAAUUAUUCUAAAAGAAGUCUGUUCUAAUGAAAUGAGGAAUCUCAACCCACCAAAUAAUAUCCAACAACUCAUGACUAUGAUUAACAAGCCUAUCCAUGCAAUUAUUUCGAAGCCCUUCUAAUACUUUCUGCAAUCUGUCGAAUAUGUUCCGCUCUAAAAUGCGAUGCGCAAACCAUCCCAGUGAAAUGGAGGAGCCCUUCUACAUUGCCGUGUUUUUAAUCCAAACUUAUUUAUCAAUUAGCACUGGAACUCUGCCUUUGUCAUGGUUUCAAAGCUGUUUUUGUUUCUUGCCAUUCAUCAUCAACAAAGUUUUUGCAAAUUUUUUAAUGGAAAGUGAUUGCAAAGAAGUGGGUAAACCGUUUGUUGGAAACGCAUUGAGAGAACUAAUACCAUAGAGAUCCAAGCGUCGGAGACAGGUGCUGUUUAUAAUCAUUUUAGGUACAGAUUUUAGCAUAUGACAGCUCGAUAUGUCUAUUGUUUGCAGCAGACAUGGAGAAUCACUCUCGAGCAAUGAGUAUUGGGUCCUUUCAGUAUUGCUUUCUGAAUUCGAAUCUCCCCUAAUACAAAUAUUUUUUAUUGAGGAGAGCCAAUGUUGAGUAGGUGGUGUUGCCAAGAGAUGGUCGCAACCAUCUAUAUCAAUCUUUUCUAUGGAAGGAAGAUGAGUAGGUAAAUGUCCCUUUAAUUUGGGACACCAUAAUAACCUCAGAGUUUUCAGACGAGGAAAAGGAGACAUGUUGUCUGAAAAAGGAUGUCAUUCCUUCCAAUUUCCCAUGGACAAAAAGAACAAAUUCUCAAGGGAUUGAAAUGGUUGGAACGAAGAAUUGGAACCUCCUGCUGCCAUGCCAUAGAACUGCGGCCCAAUUGUCUCCAAAAUUGUCAUCCUACCAAUUUGCAAGUCCUUAAGAACAAAUUCUCAAGGGAUUGAAAUGGUUGGAACGAAGAAUUGGAACCUCCUGCUGCCAUGCCAUAGAACUGCGGCCCAAUUGUCUCCAAAAUUGUCAUCCUACCAAUUUGCAAGUCCUUGAGAGAGGGUAGCUGCCCUAGUGGUGGAAGUGUCGUGCGAUUCACACAUUCAUCAAUAUAGAGGGACACCAUGUUAAAAAAUGAUGGAUCUCCCAACCAACUAGGAAAAUGUGUCCCACCAUACAAGCCAAUGCUUAAUAUCUUAAGGUUUGCAGAUGGUUGUAACAUAUCAAGCACAUUUCUUUCAUUAAGUGUGUCUUCAGUUUCCUUACCCCACUCUAGCGUCAAUACCUCAAUAUGUUCUUUGCUCUUCAAGUUGGUAUCACUUGCCUCCAUGACAACAAUGACAUUUUGCAGGUUCUUGAUGAAUAAUUCUCCCCGUAGAUUAGGAAACUUCCCAAGCUCUCUAACAGUUGAACCAAUAUUUAAGAACGGAUGAUGUUUUUGUAAAUCUCAAACUUCCAAAAGUAGUUCAGCAAUUUGCUUCGGCAUCUCUAUUAUGCUUGUCCUAUCAAUAUAAAGAUGACGCAAAUUAAUUAAUUUUCCAACAUGUUUUGGCAAUUCUAUGAGUUUUGAGCACUCAGAUAAAAUCAAGGUUUGCAAGUAGUAGAGGUUGCAUAUGGUGUCAGGCAAGCUUGUAAUAUUCGUGUGAGAGAGAUCUAGAUAGCGCAACUGCACUAAAUUGCCAACUGUAUUGGGUAACGUGGUGAUGUUUCUAUAUUUUGACAACGAUAAAACACGCAACCUUCCAAAUGUGGGUAGCAAAUAAUUGACCACAUUUCUUGAUAAAUUAUAUUCUGCCCAUCGAAAUUCAAUGGCAAGGAAGCUUCUCAAGCGUUUGAAUUUGUCGAAAGUCUUAAACUUCUUGAAAAUGUCGUAUGUUUCUUUAUUAUAUGACAAGUGACGAACAUUUUCAUAGCUCUUAGCGCCAAAUUCAUGUCUGUAACAACUUCUUCCAGAUACAGCAGUAGCUAAAUCAUUAACAAGGUCAUGCAUGACAAAUUCAUGUCUGUAACAACUUCUUCCAGAUACAGCAGUAGCUAAAUCAUUAACAAGGUCAUGCAUGACAAAUAUUUGUUUUCCAUAAUUAUCAUGCAAUUGUUGAAUCAAUGAUCUGGAUAACAAUUCUGCAAAAAACUCAUCACCUAAUUCUUCCAUGGUUUUUCUGUCUUGAGAAUGAUCAAGGAAGCCUUCUGCCAUCCACAACAAAACCAAUUGCUUCCUAUCAAGCGGAUAGUCCUUUGGAAAAAUAGAGCAAUAGGAAAAACAUCUUUUCAAUUGAGAGGAAAGAUAUUGAUAACUCAAGCGCAAUGCAGGCAAAAUGUUAUCAUUUUGUAAGUUCCAUAUGUCGUUGUUCAGAACUUCAAUCCACUCUUCAGUAUCUACUUUCGAACGCAAUAGUCCUCCAAGUGAUUUUGCAGCGAUUGGCAAUCCACCACACCUUCUGGCAAUCUUCCUACCAAUUGGUUCUAGGUUUCGGCGUUGAGUUUCAGAAAAGUCUCCACUUCCAAAUGCAUGUUUGGAGAGUAAAAACCAACUGUCUUCAUGGGAUAGAGGAUCUAAUGAAAAAAUAGGAAAUGUGCGUGCAACAUCUGCCACGUUUUUGUGGCGUGUUGUGAUGAUCAUUCUGCUUCCAUUUUUUCCAUAUA